rnacentral:rRNA from 1 species
UACGUAGGGGGCGAGCGUUGUCCGGAUUUAUUGGGCGUAAAGAGCUCGUAGGCGGCUGUUCGAGUCGGGUGUGAAAUCCUGAGGCUUAACCUUGGGUCUGCAUUCGAUACUGGGCGGCUUGAGUUCGGUAGGGGAGACUGGAAUUCCUGGUGUAGCGGUGAAAUGCGCAGAUAUCAGGAGGAACACCGGUGGCGAAGGCGGGUCUCUGGGCCGAUACUGACGCUGAGGAGCGAAAGCGUGGGGAGCGAACAGG